GAUGAACGCUGGCGGCGCGCCUAACACAUGCAAGUCGAACGAUUAAAGCACCUUCGGGUGUGUAUAAAGUGGCGAACGGCUGAGUAACACGUGGGCAACCUGCCCCUCUCAUUGGGAUAGCCACGGGAAACCGUGGAUAAUACCGAAUACUUCGGGACUUCCGCAUGGAAGACUCGAGAAAGCUCCGGCGGAGAGGGAUGGGCCCGCGGCCUGUUAGCUUGUUGGUGGGGUAAUGGCCUACCAAGGCAAUGAUGGGUAGCUGGGUUGAGAGACCGACCAGCCAGAUUGGGACUGAGACACGGCCCAGACUCCUACGGGAGGCAGCAGUGGGGAAUCUUGCACAAUGGGCGAAAGCCUGAUGCAGCGACGCCGCGUGCGGGAUGAAGGCCUUCGGGUUGCAAACCGCUUUCAGCAGGGACGAGGCGAAAGUGACGGUACCUGCAGAAGAAGCCCCGGCUAACUACGUG
rnacentral:rRNA from 1 species